AACAAGGUUUCCGUAGGUGAACCUGCGGAAGGAUCAUUACUGAAGAAAUAGGGUUUUGAGACUGCAUCCUCUGAUGUGUGCUYGACCCUUACUCUUUCAUCCACACACCUUUUGUGCACUAUGGGGACGCAAGUCCCCCUUUUUACAUAAACACCGAGUUAUAUGCAUGUUUUUUAUGUACUCUAUGGAGUAAUAUACAACUUUCAACAACGGAUCUCUUGGCUUUCGCAUCGAUGAAGAACGCAGCGAACGUGCGAAACGUAAUGUGAAUUGCAGAAUUCAGUGAAUCAUCGAAUCUUUGAACGCAUCUUGCGCUCCUUGGCAUUCCGAGGAGCAUGCCUGUUUGAGUGUCGUGAAAUACUCAAUUUCAAUCUUUUUGUUUGAAAUUGGAUUUGGGUGUUGUUGUGGAUCACAACUCAUCCUAAAUGCAUUAGCGAUCUGCCUUUGAUCACAYGCAAUGUGAUAAGAAAAAGCAUUGUUAGAAUCAAGUCAGGGUUGCUUCCAACCGUCGAAAGACAAACACAUAAUGUGUCAUUUGACCUCAGAUCAGGUAGGACUACCCGCUGAACUUAAGCA
rnacentral:rRNA from 1 species